AUCAAAGCAUUCAGUCAGGUGGAUUUCUGGGGACAGAGCCAUCCAGGCAGAAGGAAGAGACAGCACAUGUGCUCAGAGCAGGGCAGGCCUGGCUCAGCACUAGAAGGCUGCCCAGUGCAGGAGCUCAGAGACCAGGGAGGCCGAGUGUGAGAGGAAUGCAAAGAGGUUCACCGUGUGAAUCUUCUUAACUUGGAGUGGGUACUACAGAAGAUUCCCAAUAAUGAACUGAGGACCAAAAUUAUCCAGGAGACUCUAGUGGCAAGGGAAAGAUCAGGGAACCAGGUAAACAUCUAGUCUUCUGAGAGUCCAUCAAAAUGAAUAGGACAUUUUACUGUACCUCCUCAGUAAGAAGAAUGAUUUUAAAUAGCUCAACUGAUUGCAAGGAAAUCUGUGAGAAGUAACUGCAAAACCAUGGCAACACUCCUGCCUUAGAGUUUCUAAAGGAACCAGCUCUCCCAGAGCUUAAGAAGGUUAAACAGGUUAUUAUGAAUUAAAGGUUUGCUAUAAUUUACAUAUUUA